CCCAGCGUGUCGUGUCCCGAAGGACUGUGGGUAAAAAAGCCUCCAUCGAGCCAGAAGGAAUGGACGCACCAGAGGAGUCGACCCCAGGAAGAAGAUCAACCGCCUCCCCCGCCUCCUUCCUCCCCAUCCCUCCCUGAUAAUUCCACAUUUCUGUUUGAGCAACGACUGUCCAACCACACAGUCUCAACUGAUACCUUCAUUUAUUUGUCUUUGUGCUGUUUCUGUUGUUCCAGUAAGAAGAUAGAGGUAUGUUUCAGUGUGUCUGUUUUGAUUGACAGGUGUCUCCAUGCAUCAGUCAGUAGCGAUUGCAGCUUACUCGUCCUGCUUCAGCUUUUUUGGCUCCAAACGACUGACAACAUGGCAGCAAGCUUAAUACAGGUUUAAAUUAUACUGAGGUUCAAAAGUUGUGUUACGCAAUAUUUAUCUUUCAGUUUUCAUCAAAGGAGGUCAGAAUGAAAUAAUUCUGACUUGUUUUCAAAUGCAUUUAAAAGAGUUAUACUUCCCCCCAGAGACUUGGUUGUUUUUAGAUGUUCUGAGGACUUUUCAGCUUUGAUGAUGUGAACAAUAUUAUCCAAAAUAUAGUUUCUCAGAGACAGGAAAACAACAAUUCCACCUUGUUGCCAAAGAUGGUUACCAAAUAAUUAGAAUUGAUAUUUGUCAUACAUUUGGCAGUCCCCAGGAAGUUGCAAUGUUGCAGACGCAGCAAUUGAACCCUCCUUGUAAUUUCAGUCCAGUCACCGCAACUUUUCCACUAAUUUGAUUUGAUGAUUGAAUCAUUGUAGUAUUGUCAUUUGGAACACUCCAAACUACUAGCAAUUUUGCUCCUGCAUCAUCAGUCUUUAGAGAAGCUGCCGUGAAAUCAAACAUUCUAGGCUCCAACAAUCCCCAAAAAAGCCUAUGAAAUCCUGAAGGGACUGAUUUGGAAAAAUGUCAAACAUUACAGCAGUAGUCAUUUAAAAACAUUACAGCUGCUGAAAUGCCUUUGUCGGUUAACUUAUCCCUCAUGGUAGCGAUAAACUGCGUGACUUCUUGGUCAACAGGAAUAACGUACACUGAAUUCAUUUGUACAAAUUCACUACCUUUAGCUAGGGUUGGUACUCAAUUAGGUAGAUACUACGGAGCACCUAUUCACAUUCGAUUAACCUGUGCCAAUUUCCAGUAAACAAGGCUUACCUAGUCUGCUGCAGGACACAUUCUGUUUUUUGUCAUGCAUCAAUAUCCACAGAAAAGUUUGGUUGUAUCUUAAACUGGAGCCUUUGCAGAUUAAUUCCAUACAUCUGAUCAGCUCCAUACAGACUAUCUCUGACUUUUUCAAACACAGCAAGCGAAGCAAUAAUACAGUGUGCUUUAUGUGGACAUUGUGUCAGAGGUUUGUCUCCAUAUAGCCUGUCUGCUCUGGUUAAACCGUAAUAAUGUAACCUACAUAUUGUCUUCCCUUCAUUCCACCACUCUAAUAUACAUAUACACUGGACACACAGCCAGCCCUGCUCUCAUGGUACCCCGCCCACAUGCCCCAAGACAUACCUAGUGGAGAUCUACACUCUACUGAGCACUCUUCUAGUAAGCAAAAGGUAUUUUCUGCUAAACAUCAGCCUGUUAUACCUACUGAUUGAGUUCAGACACUAUUCCUCUCUACAGUCUCACAGAGCCGCUAGCGUGGCUGUAGACUCCAUUUGGACUGGUUUUAUUUCUCCAGGGGAGGUGGGGUUAUUUUGACUUUACCUGCACUGUUCUGUGAUUUUAAUACCCUCCAGAGUGUGUGUGUGGGUAAUCUUGCACCGCCAUCCCAAUAGUAAUUAAAGCUGCACUGUUUUUCGGUGAACGGGCUGGUCCUCCUGCAAUUUAAAUCCCAUACUUUUUUUUUUUGUUGGUUCUAUUGCAUCAGCUCAGUGUGGAAUCUUUUCUUUUGUGUGGAAAUUAAGGAAGUUGAAAAUGUUUUUGCCAGUCUGAUAGAAACAGGAUAACACCAAAGAGCUAUCUGGGAACCAAUAGAGUAGCCUACCAGGAAAUGAGUGCACUUCCAGUUCCCUCUGGCACUUCCUUAUACUCAAGCUCUUGCAGACUAUACCCCUUAAAACUUUCCAAGUUGUAGAUUUUAAUCAAACGAUUUAAUUUGGUGGUGGCUAAGGUGAAGUCAUGCAACCGGGGUGUAGUUUGUAGUUUGAAAAAAUCCAGUUGUUUUUUUGUCAAAGGAACCAGGGCAACUUCAUAUGCAUAUUAAAUGGACUGUCGUAAUUUACAAGGUACUGGUAUUCUCUUUAGUCUUGAAUAUCAAUGUCUGUUACAGAUGGACAACAGCCUGUAAUUUAAUCAUGGUUAAAAUGC
rnacentral:lncRNA from 15 species